GAUUAACGCGAAGAACCUUACCUGGGCUAGAAUGCUGGGAGACCGUGGGUGAAAGCUCACUUUGUAGCAAUACACUGCCAGUAAGGUGCUACAUGGCUGUCGUCAGCUCGUGCCGUGAGGUGUUGGGUUAAGUCCCGCAACGAGCGCAACCCCCAUCACUAGUUGCCAUCAGGUAACGCUGGGAACUCUAGUGAAACUGCCGUCGUAAGACGUGAGGAAGGAGGGGAUGAUGUCAAGUCAUCAUGGCCUUUAUGCCCAGGGCUACACACGUGCUACAAUGGGGCGUACAAAGGGCUGCAACAUAGCGAUAUGAAGCUAAUCCCAAAAAACGCCUCUCAGUUCAGAUUGGAGUCUGCAACUCGACUCCAUGAAGCUGGAAUCGCUAGUAAUCGUAUAUCAGCAAUGAUACGGUGAAUACGUUCCCGGGCCUUGUACACACCGAAUCACUAGU
rnacentral:rRNA from 1 species